UACUCCUACGGGAGGCAGCAGUAGGGAAUCUUCCGCAAUGGGCGAAAGCCUGACGGAGCAACGCCGCGUGAGUGAUGAAGGUCUUCGGAUCGUAAAACUCUGUUAUUAGGGAAGAACAUAUGUGUAAGUAACUGUGCACAUCUUGACGGUACCUAAUCAGAAAGCCACGGCUAACUACGUGCCAGCAGCCGCGGUAAUACGUAGGUGGCAAGCGUUAUCCGGAAUUAUUGGGCGUAAAGCGCGCGUAGGCGGUUUUUUAAGUCUGAUGUGAAAGCCCACGGCUCAACCGUGGAGGGUCAUUGGAAACUGGAAAACUUGAGUGCAGAAGAGGAAAGUGGAAUUCCAUGUGUAGCGGUGAAAUGCGCAGAGAUAUGGAGGAACACCAGUGGCGAAGGCGACUUUCUGGUCUGUAACUGACGCUGAUGUGCGAAAGCGUGGGGAUCAAACAGGAUUAGAUACCCUGGUAGUCCACGCCGUAAACGAUGAGUGCUAAGUGUUAGGGGGUUUCCGCCCCUUAGUGCUGCAGCUAACGCAUUAAGCACUCCGCCUGGGGAGUACGACCGCAAGGUUGAAAA
rnacentral:rRNA from 1 species